GACGAACGCUGGCGGCGUGCUUAACACAUGCAAGUCGAACGGAAAGGCCCUGCUUUUGUGGGGUGCUCGAGUGGCGAACGGGUGAGUAACACGUGAGUAACCUGCCCUUGACUUUGGGAUAACUUCAGGAAACUGGGGCUAAUACCGGAUAGGAGCUCCUGCUGCAUGGUGGGGGUUGGAAAGUUUCGGCGGUUGGGGAUGGACUCGCGGCUUAUCAGCUUGUUGGUGGGGUAGUGGCUUACCAAGGCUUUGAUGGGUAGCCGGCCUGAGAGGGUGACCGGCCACAUUGGGACUGAGAUACGGCCCAGACUCCUACGGGAGGCAGCAGUGGGGAAUAUUGCACAAUGGGCGGAAGCCUGUUGCAGCAACGCCGCGUGCGGGAUGACGGCCUUCGGGUUGUAAACCGCUUUCGCCUGUGACGAAGCGUGAGUGACGGUAAUGGGUAAAGAAGCACCGGCUAACUACGUG
rnacentral:rRNA from 1 species